GAGUUUGAUUCUGGCUCAGGAUGAACGCUGGCGGCAUGCCUAACACAUGCAAGUUGAACGAGAAGUUUUGGAGGGAGUCUUCGGACGAACGAAGGAAUGGAAAGUAGCGAACGGGUGAGUAACGCGUGGGCAACCAACCUUACACAGGGGGAUAACGCAGAGAAAUUUGCGCUAAUACCGCAUAAGCGCACAGUACCGCAUGGUACCGUGUGAAAAACUCCGGUGGUGUAAGACGGGCCCGCGUCUGAUUAGUUAGUUGGUGAGGUAAAAGCUCACCAAGGCGACGAUCAGUAGCCGACCUGAGAGGGUGAUCGGCCACAUUGGGACUGAGACACGGCCCAAACUCCUACGGGAGGCAGCAGUGGGGGAUAUUGCACAAUGGAGGGAACUCUGAUGCAGCAAUGCCGCGUGAAGGAAGACGGUUUUCGGAUUGUAAACUUCUAUCAGC
rnacentral:rRNA from 1 species